CAGCAGCCGCGGUAAUACGAAGGGGGCUAGCGUUGUUCGGAAUUACUGGGCGUAAAGCGCACGUAGGCGGCUUGGUAAGUUAGAGGUGAAAGCCCGGAGCUCAACUCCGGAAUUGCCUUUAAGACUGCCGAGCUAGUAGGUGAGAGAGGUAAGUGGAAUUCCGAGUGUAGAGGUGAAAUUCGUAGAUAUUCGGAAGAACACCAGUGGCGAAGGCGGCUUACUGGCUCAUUCUAGACGCUGAGGUGCGAAAGCGUGGGGAGCAAACAGGAUUAGAUACCCGAGUAGUCCCUGUCUCUUAUAC
rnacentral:rRNA from 1 species